UACCCGGGAUAACAACAGAUGAUGCCCUAUCAACUGUUUAAAAAGAUGGUUCUGCUAUCACUCUUGGGAUGGACCCUGCGGUGCACUAGCUAGUUGGUAGGGUAACGGCCUACCAAGGCGAUGAUGCAUAGCCGAGUUGAGAGACUGAUCAGCCACAUUGGGACUGAGACACGGCCCCAAACUCCUACGGGAGGCAGCAGUAGGGAAUCUUCCACAAUGGACGCAAGUCUGAUGGAGCAACGCCGCGUGAGUGAAGAAGGGUUUCGGCUCGUAAAGCUCUGUUGUUGGUGAAGAAGGACAGGGGUAGUAACUGACCUUUGUUUGACGGUAAUCAAUUAGAAAGUCACGGCUAACUACGUGCCAGCAGCCGCGGUAAU
rnacentral:rRNA from 1 species